rnacentral:tRNA from 1 species
GCAUCUAUAGGCAAAUUGGCAAAGCCGACACAUUUAGGAUGUGUUGUUUAAGAGUUCAAGUCUCUUUGGAUGCACCA